rnacentral:rRNA from 1 species
CCCUUAGAUGUCCUGGGCCGCACGCGCGCUACACUGAUGCAUGCAACGAGUUUAUAACCUUGGCCUGAAAGGUCUGGGUAAUCUUUUGAACGUGCAUCGUGAUAGGGAUAGAUUAUUGCAAUCGUUAAUCUUGAACGAGGAAUUCCUAGUAAACGCGAGUCAUCAGCUCGCAUUGAUUACGUCCCUGCCCUUUGUACACACCGCCCGUCGCACCUACCGAUUGAAUGGUUCGGUGAAGAUCUCGGACUUCGAUAUUUAUUCUUUAUUGAGUUUAUAUUGUGGGAAGUUAUCUAAACCUCAUCAUUUAGAGGAAGGUGAAGUCGUAACA